rfam:Pteropus alecto contig163037, whole genome shotgun sequence.
GUCUAUGGCCACGCCACCCUGAACAUGCCUGACCCCGUCUGAUCUCGGAAGCUAAGCAGGGUCAGGCCUGGUUAGUACUUGGAUGGGAGACCACCUAGGAAUACCAGGUGCUAUAGGCG